GAUCCCAUUGUCUUGCCUGUGCUUAUGAAUGUAUAUUCACAAUGUGGGUAGAAGAAUCUGAACAAAAAAAAAUGUACUUUCCAGGUCUCCAUGGACAACCCAAUCCAACCAAGCUUAGGCACCAUUCCUACCCUAGGCCUUACCAUAGAGCCAUCAGGUCAGCACGUUUAAUGUAUGACCAGACACAAUGAAAAGGGUGAGACAGGGAGGCCAUGGACUUUGGCUUGUAGCUCCCAGGAUUAUUUACAAGGCUAAUUUUUGUUUUGAUGUUUGUUCUCACUAUUCAACUGACAUAUGGCACUGUUACAAAGUUGUUCUCAAUAAUGAGCUCAAGUGCACAGAAAAAGAUCAUUUGGGUUUUCUGGAACUUAGUUCAUUUUUCUAAUUGUCCCUUCUUUUUUUUCUUUUCUUUUCUCAGCAUUCUUUUUCUUCUAUUUCUCCUCCUCUCACCUUACCCACCUCCCCUGCUCACUCUCCUCCCCUCAUCUCUUUUCUUCCUUCUCUUCAUUUUUCCUUUUGAGACAGGGUCUCAUUCUAUAGUUCAGGUGGUCCCGGAUCUUACUAUGUAGCCCAGGUUGGCCUGGACUUUAUGGUAGUCCUCCUGCCUCCGCCUCCUGAAUGUUGGGAUUAUAAGCAUGACCCACCCUGUCCAGCUUGAAAGUUCUACACUUAAGAGAUCCAAUUACUUCAACCAUUCAAGGCCUCUCUACUCUCUGCCCCAGGACCAUGUUGCUGUCUCCUGUUUUGCUAAACGUAGUAUACAAUGUUCAUGGAACACGAUGUCCUCGAAGGGUAAAGAUUUUCCCUUUGGCUUGUGUAAGAGUGGGAAAAGCAGUGAACACCAGCCUCUCCAGUUCUUUUCCUGUUGCUCCCCAGGUGUACCUGAGUCCUGGGUUUUGACCAGUUGUCUAUAGUAACAGGCCUGCUGUGGCCAGAACAAAACGGAUUGCGGGAAGGUCAAGUGUAGUGAAGAUGGAUUGUCUAAGAGAACCUGUCUUCACUGAACCAAAGUGAGAGUUGCAGAACUCUCAGCUACUUCUCCAGCACCAUGUCUGCCUGCCUGCUGCCAUGCUCCCCACCGUGAAGAUAACAGAUUAAACCUCCGAAACUGUUAGUUCUCCUGACACAGAUUUCCAAUGAUGUUUACAUUUUAAACAAGAACCACUAGGACGGAAUAGCUCCGUUUGAAUAGAAUGUACCUUCUCAUCCUGAGCAAAAUGAAGGCAACAGCGGAAAAAUCAUCAAGUGUGUGCCGUUGUUUCCGACCGCAAGAGAAAAGAACUGUAGAAAGUUACGCUUCUCCUAUAAACUUUCGACAACAGUUUGAAGCUCCAGAGGCAGCUUUCAGUCCGUGAUUUACAAAACGUACCGCAACGCAGUGAGAAUAUUGCCAUUACCCACGAAGGGGAAGAGUCUACUUUCCCUCUUCUUGAACCUGGGCAAGAUUUCACGAUUGCCUCCCUUCUCAGAUGGACAAUGAAGGUGGCACAGUGCCUAUCACCCCAGCGUGGUGACCUUCCUUCUUGGAACCCAGCCAUCAAGUUGUGAGGGAUAUUUCACAGAACAACAUGAAGAGGAACCAAGUCUCCCAGCAUCAACCACUGGACCUGUGAGUGAAUAGGUCUUCAGAGGCUUCCAGCCUCCAGCCUGGCGUCUUCCGGGACAGUCGCUAGACACAGAGAAACUGAGACAAGCCACCCCUGUUAUUCCUUCUGAGUCUCUGGACCACAGAUGGCACAGGUCACUAUUAGAAGGCAUCCUUAGCUCACAAGUUUGGAUUGAUUUUCAAUACAGAUAUAAUAAUUGCAGAUGUAGUAAUACUUUAUCCUUGCAUAUCUUAGUUUUCUCAUCUGAGAAAUGGGAAUAACACUAUUCUGUUGGGUGGUUACCAAAAUUUAAUGUAUUCAAAUUAAUCAGUGUCCUUCCUGUGAAACAGAAUCUAAUGUUUGAUGAGCAGAGUAUUGUCCUGUGGAUUUUACAUGUUAUACCUUUGAGUCACUACAAUAACCUAAAAAUGUGUGUGUUACUUGAAUACUUUUUAUGGAUAUAAAAUGGACAUAGUAUGAAAUUAGCCACUUAUAAAGGGAGCGAUUCAGCCUUGCUUCACAUCUUAGCAAUGCUAUGUAAGCACUGCUAUUUAGGACCCAAACAUUUCAUCACUCAGGUAAGAAACAUGGGCACUGCUUCUAAAGACACUUUAUACAUGAAGUUACACAACUUGACUGUUGUCGGACAUAAUACACUUGGAUUCCAGGCUCUGUGCUUUUUGCUGUCGCUCUGCAUUGCCUACAGUUCCUGAGAGCAAUGGCUGGGUUGAAGUGACCUGCCUACAAUCACACAGUUAUGAAGUGGCAGGCCCCAGACAGCUCAGAUUCCAUAGCUUGUGCACUUUCUGCUGGGAUACAACUUACACCGGCAUCUUCCAUCAUGCUCCCCAAAGAGGUGGAGCUCCUAAGUAGUCAACCUUCAAAACCUGUGCUUGUCUCAACAUAUAUUGCCCACUGUUGUAGAGUCCUACCCUCUGAUCAACAUAGCUGCCAUCUUCCUUAGAUUAGCUGUGUCUAUUUUCAAGAGACCAUCCUGAUGGGCUUUGUUGACUGUUGGUAUUCCCACAUAGAUGAGAUUGUGUCCCCCAAUAUAUUGUGAACCUUAAUAAACUUAUCUGGGAUCAGAGAACAGAAC